AUGGGCCGCAAGUUCUUCGUCGGCGGCAACUGGAAAUGCAAUGGAACUGUGGAACAGGUAGAGAGUAUCGUCAACACUCUGAACGCUGGACAGAUCGCCUCUACGGAUGUUGUCGAGGUUGUCGUCAGCCCGCCCUAUGUCUUCCUUCCCACCGUCAAGGGUAAGCUGCGCCCAGAGAUCCAAGUCGCUGCUCAGAACUGCUGGGUGAAGAAGGGCGGUGCUUUCACCGGUGAAGUCAGUGCUGAGAUGCUUGUCAACCUCGGCGUUCCCUGGGUCAUCCUUGGACACUCUGAAAGGAGGAGCUUGAUGGGAGAAUCAAGCGAGUUUGUUGGAGAGAAGGUUGCAUAUGCACUUGCUCAGGGCUUGAAGGUCAUUGCAUGUGUUGGUGAGACUCUCGAGCAGCGAGAAGCUGGAUCAACCAUGGCAGUUGUCGCUGAACAGACAAAAGCAAUUGCUGGCAAGAUCAAGGACUGGACCAAUGUGGUUGUCGCUUACGAACCAGUGUGGGCCAUUGGCACCGGUAAAGUUGCGACACCGGCUCAGGCGCAGGAAGUCCAUGCCAAUCUGAGGGACUGGCUCAAGACCAAUGUGAGCCCCGAGGUUGCUGAAUCCACGAGGAUCAUCUAUGGAGGAUCUGUAACUGGCGCAAGCUGCAAGGAGUUGGCAGGGCAGCCCGACGUUGAUGGUUUCCUCGUUGGUGGAGCUUCUUUGAAGCCUGAGUUCAUUGACAUCAUCAACGCCGCCACCGUGAAGUCCGCCUAA
rnacentral:rRNA from 1 species